rnacentral:rRNA from 1 species
UCAAGCGACCAAGGGCAUAAGGUGAAUGCCUUGGCACUGAGAGCCGAAGAAGGACGUGACAAGCUGCGAAAAGUCUCGGGGAGGAGCAAAUAUCCAUUGAUCCGGGAAUGUCCGAAUGGGGAAACCCACUUGAGCAAACCUCAAGUAUCUAGUUGUGAAUACAUAGCAACAAGAGGGAAAAGUUGGUGAACUGAAACAUCUAAGUAGCCAGACGAAAAGAAAGAAAAAAUUCGAUUUUCAAAGUAGCGGCGAGCGAAAUGGAAAGAGCCCAAAUUAAGUUAAGGAAGAGGUAAGAUAGUUGAAUGGUCUGGAAAGAUUCAACCGAAGAAAGUGAAAGUCUUGUAAACGAAAUCGAUCCGAAUCUGACUUUAAAAGAGUAGCAUGGGACACGAGAAAUCCUGUGUGAAUAUGGGGGGACCACCCCCUAAGGCUAAAUACUACUCAGUGACCGAUAGAGAAUAGUACCGUGAGGGAAAGGUGAAAAGAACCCCGGGAGGGGAGUGAAAUAGAACCUGAAACCUUAUGCCUACAAGCAGAUAGAGUCUUAAGAGAGAUGAUAUCGUACUUUUUGUAGAACGGGCCAGCGAGUUAUGGUGUGCGGCAAGGUUAAGUAAUGAAGUUACGGAGCCGUAGGGAAACCGAGUCUGAAUAGGGCGGAUGAGUCGUAUGCCAUAGACCCGAAACCAGGUGAUCUAUCCAUGAGCAGGUUGAAGUGAAAGUAAAAUUUCAUGGAGGACCGAACCGGGUAGCGUUUAAAAGCUAUCGGAUGACUUGUGGAUAGGGGUGAAAAGCCAAUCGAACUUGGAGAUAGCUGGUUCUCCUCGAAAUAGCUUUAGGGCUAGCCUCAAUUUAGUUUACAGGGGGUAGAGCACUGAAUACCGUAGGGGUGUUAGACAUUACCGAAAGUUAUCAAACUGCGAAUACCUGAUAAAUGAUGAUUGGGAGUCAGACUAUGUGGGAUAAGCUUCAUAGUCAAAAGGGAAAGAGCCCAGACCACCAGCUAAGGUCCCUAAAUAUAGAUUAAGUGGUAAAGGAUGUUUUACUACUCAGACAACCAGGAUGUUGGCUUAGAAGCAGCCAUACAUUUAAAGAGUGCGUAAUAGCUCACUGGUCAAGUGGUAGAGCGCCGAAAAUGAACGGGGCUAAAAUCUAAUACCGAAGCUGUGGACUAAUUAAAUUAGUGGUAGAGGAGCAUUGUGUAAGGGAUGAAGCUAAGCUGGAAGGCGAAGUGGACUUUACAGAAGAGAGAAUGCUGGCAUGAGUAGCGAAAAGGAGGGUGAGAAUCCCUCCCGUCGAAAGCCUAAGGAUUCCUGAGGAAGGCUCGUCCUCUCAGGGUAAGUCGGGACCUAAGCCCAGGCUGAAAAGCGUAAGCGAUGGACAACAGGUUGAGAUUCCUGUACUAUCUUUGAAUGUUUGAGAGAAGUACUGACGCAGGAGGAUAUGUUGAGCGUGUGAAUGGUAGAGCACGUCUAAGCAAGUAGGUAGAGAAUAGAGGCAAAUCCCUAUUCUUAAUAUCGAGAUGUGAUGGGGAGCGAAAAACAAGUAGUGAAGCAACAAAUUCCAAACUGCCAAGAAAAGGUACUAUUGAGUGAGAAGAUACCCGUACCAAAACCGACACAGGUAGGCAAGGAGAGAAUCCUAAGACGCGCGGAAGAACCUUUGUUAAGGAACUCGGCAAAAUGACCCCGUAACUUCGGGAGAAGGGGUACCAUUAGAUGUGAUAUACAUACGUAUGGAGCAUAGAGUGGUCGCAGAGAAUAGGCCCAAGCAACUGUUUACCAAAAACACAAGUCUCUGCUAAAUCGAAAGAUGAAGUAUAGGGGCUGACACCUGCCCGGUGCUGGAAGGUUAAGGGGAAAUGUAAGAGCAAUCGAAGCAUAGAACUUAAGCCCCAGUAAACGGCGGCCGUAACUAUAACGGUCCUAAGGUAGCGAAAUUCCUUGUCGGGUAAGUUCCGACCCGCACGAAAGGCGUAACGAUUUGGGCACUGUCUCAACGA